rnacentral:rRNA from 1 species
AAAGAUAGUACCACAAGAGGAAGAGACGGCUAACUCUGUGCCAGCAGCCGCGGUAAUACAGAGGUCUCAAGCGUUGUUCGGAAUCACUGGGCGUAAAGCGUGCGUAGGCUGUUUCGUAAGUCGUGUGUGAAAGGCGCGGGCUCAACCCGCGGACGGCACAUGAUACUGCGAGACUAGAGUAAUGGAGGGGGAACCGGAAUUCUCGGUGUAGCAGUGAAAUGCGUAGAUAUCGAGAGGAACACUCGUGGCGAAGGCGGGUUCCUGGACAUUAACUGACGCUGAGGCACGAAGGCCAGGGGAGCGAAAGGGAUUAGAUACCCCUGUAGUCCUGGCAGUAAACGGUGCACGCUUGGUGUGCGGGGAAUCGACCCCCUGCGUGCCGGAGCUAACGCGUUAAGCGUGCCGCCUGGGGAGUACGGUCGCAAGAUUAAAACUCAAAGAAAUUGACGGGGACCCGCACAAGCGGUGGAGUAUGUGGCUUAAUUCGAUGCAACGCGAAGAACCUUACCUGGGCUUGACAUGUAAUGAACAACAUGUGAAAGCAUGCGACUCUUCGGAGGCGUUACACAGGUGCUGCAUGGCCGUCGUCAGCUCGUGUCGUGAGAUGUUUGGUUAAGUCCAGCAACGAGCGCAACCCCUGUUGCCAGUUACCAGCACGUGAAGGUGGGGACUCUGGCGAGACUGCCCAGAUCAACUGGGAGGAAGGUGGGGACGACGUCAGGUCAGUAUGGCCCUUAUGCCCAGGGCUGCACACGUACUACAAUGCCCAGUACAGAGGGGGCCGAAGCCGCGAGGCGGAGGAAAUCCUAAAAACUGGGCCCAGUUCGGACUGUAGGCUGCAACCCGCCUACACGAAGCCGGAAUCGCUAGUAAUGGCGCAUCAGCUACGGCGCCGUGAAUACGUUCCCGGGUCUUGUACACACCGCCCGUCACAUCAUGGAAGCCGGUCGCACCCGAAGUAUCUGAAGCCAACCGCAAGGAGGCAGGGUCCUAAGGUGAGACUGGUAACUGGGAUGAAGUCGUAACAAGGUAGCCGUAGGGGAACCUGCGGCUG